rnacentral:rRNA from 1 species
UUGACCUCAAAUCAGGUAGGACUACCCGCUGAACUUAAGCAUAUCAAUAAGCGGAGGAAAAGAAACUAACAAGGAUUCCCCUAGUAACUGCGAGUGAAGCGGGAAAAGCUCAAAUUUAAAAUCUGGCGGUCUUGCGGCCGUCCGAGUUGUAAUCUGGAGAAGCGUCUAUCCGCGUCGGACCGUGUACAAGUCUUCUGGAAGGGAGCGUCAUAGAGGGUGAGAAUCCC